UACGGGGGGGGGGCAAGCGUUGUUCGGAAUUACUGGGCGUAAAGGGCGCGUAGGCGGCCUUCUAAGUCGGACGUGAAAUCCCCUCGGCUCAACCGAGGAACUGCGUCCGAUACUGAAAGGCUUGAAUCCGGGAGAGGGAUGUGGAAUUCCAGGUGUAGCGGUGAAAUGCGUAGAUAUCUGGAGGAACACCGGUGGCGAAGGCGGCAUCCUGGACCAAUAUUGACGCUGAGGAGCGAAAGCCAGGGGAGCAAACGGG
rnacentral:rRNA from 1 species